rnacentral:rRNA from 1 species
GAUGAACGCUGGCGGCGUGCCUAAUACAUGCAAGUCGAGCGAACAGACGAGGAGCUUGCUCCUCUGACGUUAGCGGCGGACGGGUGAGUAACACGUGGAUAACCUACCUAUAAGACUGGGAUAACUUCGGGAAACCGGAGCUAAUACCGGAUAAUAUAUUGAACCGCAUGGUUCAAUAGUGAAAGACGGUUUUGCUGUCACUUAUAGAUGGAUCCGCGCCGCAUUAGCUAGUUGGUAAGGUAACGGCUUACCAAGGCAACGAUGCGUAGCCGACCUGAGAGGGUGAUCGGCCACACUGGAACUGAGACACGGUCCAGACUCCUACGGGAGGCAGCAGUAGGGAAUCUUCCGCAAUGGGCGAAAGCCUGACGGAGCAACGCCGCGUGAGUGAUGAAGGUCUUCGGAUCGUAAAACUCUGUUAUUAGGGAAGAACAAAUGCGUAAGUAACUAUGCACGUCUUGACGGUACCUAAUCAGAAAGCCACGGCUAACUACGUG